GUUCCAGGACAGCCAGAAACCCUGU
rnacentral:piRNA from 1 species